rnacentral:rRNA from 1 species
AAUGAACGUUGGCGGCGUGGAUUAGGCAUGCAAGUCGAGCGAGAAGUGUAGCAAUACACGGAAGGCGGCGAAAGGGAGAGUAAUGCGUAGGUACCUACCCCUGGACCCGGGAUAGCGGCGGGAAACUGCCAUUAAUACCGGAUAAUGUCUCCGGACCAAAGGUGUGAUUCCGUCCGGGGAGGGGCCUGCGUCCUAUCAGCUAGUUGGCAGGGUAAUGGCCUACCAAGGCAUAGACGGGUAGCGGGUGUGAGAGCACGACCCGCCUCACUGGGACUGAGACACUGCCCAGACACCUACGGGUGGCUGCAGUCGAGAAUCUUCCGCAAUGGACGCAAGUCUGACGGAGCGACGCCGCGUGCGGGAUGAAGGCCUUCGGGUCGUAAACCGCUGUCAGUGGGGAGGAAAUGCACGGGGUACUCCCCUGUGUUUGACCGAUCCGCAGAGGAAGCACAGGCUAAGUUCGUGCCAGCAGCCGCCGUAA